rnacentral:rRNA from 1 species
GAUGAACGCUAGCGGCAGGCUUAACACAUGCAAGUCGAGGGGUAACAUUGUGCUUGCGCAGAUGACGACCGGCGAACGGGUGCGUAACGCGUAUAGAAUCUGCCUUGUACAGGAGGAUAGCCUUUAGAAAUGAAGAUUAAUACUCCAUAAUGUUAAUUAGAGGCAUCUCUAAUUAAUUAAACAUUUAUGGGUACAAGAUGACUAUGCGUCCUAUUAGCUAGAUGGUAAGGUAACGGCUUACCAUGGCAACGAUAGGUAGGGGGUCUGAGAGGAUUAUCCCCCACACUGGUACUGAGACACGGACCAGACUCCUACGGGAGGCAGCAGUGAGGAAUAUUGGUCAAUGGAGGCAACUCUGAACCAGCCAUGCCGCGUGCAGGAUGACUGCCCUAUGGGUUGUAAACUGCUUUUAUACAGGAAGAAACCGAUGUACGUGUACAUCCUUGACGGUACUGUAAGAAUAAGGACCGGCUAACUCCGUGCCAGCAGCCGCGGUAAUACGGAGGGUCCGAGCGUUAUCCGGAAUCAUUGGGUUUAAAGGGUCCGCAGGCGGUCAAUUAAGUCAGAGGUGAAAUCCCAUCGCUCAACGAUGGAACUGCCUUUGAUACUGAUUGACUUGAGUUAUAUGGAAGUAGAUAGAAUAAGUAGUGUAGCGGUGAAAUGCAUAGAUAUUACUUAGAAUACCGAUUGCGAAGGCAGUCUACUACGUAUAUACUGACGCUGAGGGACGAAAGCGUGGGGAGCGAACAGG